GAUGAACGCUGGCGGCGUGCCUAAUACAUGCAAGUCGAGCGAACAGACGAGGAGCUUGCUCCUCUGACGUUAGCGGCGGACGGGUGAGUAACACGUGGAUAACCUACCUAUAAGACUGGGAUAACUUCGGGAAACCGGAGCUAAUACCGGAUAAUAUAUUGAACCGCAUGAUUCAAUAGUGAAAGACGGUUUUGCUGUCACUUAUAGAUGGAUCCGCGCCGCAUUAGCUAGUUGGUAAGGUAACGGCUUACCAAGGCAACGAUGCGUAGCCGACCUGAGAGGGUGAUCGGCCACACUGGAACUGAGACACGGUCCAGACUCCUACGGGAGGCAGCAGUAGGGAAUCUUCCGCAAUGGGCGAAAGCCUGACGGAGCAACGCCGCGUGAGUGAUGAAGGUCUUCGGAUCGUAAAACUCUGUUAUUAGGGAAGAACAAAUGUGUAAGGAACUAUGCACGUCUUGACGGUACCUAAUCAGAAAGCCACGGCUAACUACGUG
rnacentral:rRNA from 1 species